AAGAUUCGAACCUGCAGCAGGUUCGGGUCGAACGCAGUGAGACAACGGAGCCGUUUACGGCGACGGCCCGAAGGGCGAGCGAAGCGAGUCAUCCUGCACGACCCACCA
rnacentral:sRNA from 1 species